GGCGAAAUGGCCGAGUGGUCCAAGGCGCUAGAAUCAGGCUCUGUAUAUCUAGUCCGUAAAAGGGCGUGGGUUCGAACCCCACUUUCGUCA